AGCUUGUUGGUGGGGUGAUGGCCUACCAAGGCGACGACGGGUAGCCGGCCUGAGAGGGUGUCCGGCCACACUGGGACUGAGAUACGGCCCAGACUCCUACGGGAGGCAGCAGUGGGGAAUAUUGCACAAUGGGCGCAAGCCUGAUGCAGCGACGCCGCGUGAGGGAUGACGGCCUUCGGGUUGUAAACCUCUUUCAGCACGGACGAAGCGCAAGUGACGGUACGUGCAGAAGAAGCACCGGCCAACUACGUGCCAGCAGCCGCGGUAAUACGUAGGGUGCGAGCGUUGUCCGGAAUUACUGGGCGUAAAGAGCUCGUAGGUGGUUUGUCGCGUUGUUCGUGAAAACUCACGGCUUAACUGUGGGCGUGCGGGCGAUACGGGCAGACUGGAGUACUGCAGGGGAGACUGGAAUUCCUGGUGUAGCGGUGGAAUGCGCAGAUAUCAGGAGGAACACCGGUGGCGAAGGCGGGUCUCUGGGCAGUAACUGACGCUGAGGAGCGAAAGCGUGGGGAGCGAACAGGAUUAGAUACCCUGGUAGUCCACGCCGUAAACGGUGGGUACUAGGUGUGGG
rnacentral:rRNA from 1 species